GGAUAUGAGGACAGUCUGGCUGCAACAUCUGUCACCCCCAUCGAUAGCCAGGGCUGGACUGGCUAGACAGGUGUCCUCUUCUUCCCUGACGGCUCCAUUUUCGUCCCUCUCAAAGCUGUAUGCUCAUUCGAAGAGUACAGACUUCCCCAAAUACAUACGGAUGGGUCAUCGGUCAAGGGUAUAUGAGCAGCUAAGCGCCCCUGCUUGAACCUCCAAACAAGCUCUCAAGAAUACUAAAAUAUCAUACGAAAUAUUCUAAAUGUAGUUUAAUUAAGAAAUUUAUUAUUUCAUUUU
rnacentral:snRNA from 1 species